CAAACAUCACAAACCAGCCUGCUCAUGGAACAAUCGAGCAACAGGAGCAGGGUCCAGAAAACCUAAGACGAUGAGACGACCAAUGAGUAUGUGCACGAACGACGAAAAUUGAAAUUGAGUUUUAUGUGUAAACAUUAAAGACGUGGCAUGCGGUAAUAUCGCACGUUGUUUCUCCGGUGUAAAUCAAGCAUAAUACUGUUUGUUCUGGAAUGAUUUGAUUAAGGAGGCUUUUUCUUUGUGUUGGUCGUAGUGGUCCUAACAGCCAGUACGACCUGGGGCUUAUUUCUAGAAACUUACAAGUCACAAGUUACAAAUGUGUAACCAUACUAACCCUUAAAUUUCACAAUUACUACGCGUGACCAUGGUUACACACCUAUAAUUACAAGACUUGGAGGUUUCGUGAAACAAACCACUGGAUUUAUUAUCUAUCUUGACAUUUAGUUAGCAAUCUUCUGUCCACUACGAAACAUAUUGUAUAGAAUAAAAUAAGGAAGUAAAUCUUAAGGAUUGGGACUGCCGCAACUUUUGCGUAGGAACUAUUUGGUAUUAAUAAAAACUAUAUAAAAAUAAAACAAAUAAUAUUGAUGAAUGUGGAGGAAGCAAGAAAAGUGUGUCAGGAUCGAAGCAAAUGGAAUUCUAGUCUCUGCUUACCCCGGUGGGAAAUAGGCGUGAGUUUAUGUAUGUAUGUAUAUAAAAAUAAUUGUUUGGCCCAAGUUGUUCAGUUUCAUGAAUGAAAUCCAAUCCUUCAGUGUAGGUACUACACCGCAUUUCUGUUAAUUCAUGCAACAGAAUCUUUUCACAAGAAGAAAAAUGUGAUAUUUGCACCAUUGCUCCUAAUUUACGAAAAUUCUAUUGUUACAAAAUAUAUAGUUUUCAUUUAAUUCAUUAUCAUCGACACUAAAGAAGAAGAAUAAAUAAAUACAUUUAUACUUUUCUCAGUA